rnacentral:lncRNA from 1 species
ACGCACUGCCGCGGCUGACGGCGGAGCAGUGGGCCGAGCUGGUGUCGUAUCUGGACUCGCCGCAACGCCGGCCGCCGCAGCUGCAGCCGCACCAGCUGGCAUGGGCUCGUGCGGUGCAAGCGCCUGAUACCGUGGUGCACGUGUAAAAGCGAAGGUGAAACUGUGAGCUUAUUUUGAAACUAGUGGCGUGCGCAUGACAGGAUAAGCAGACGCUGCUGGCAAACGCAGCAGAGUUUAGGAGGGAGGCAUCUACCUUGGUUGGCACAACCACAUGGGUUGGCACGCUGGUUGGCACAUCCACAUGGGCAUGAGUUGGUUUCCGACUACUCACUGCGCUCGAGCCGAAAUCAUUAGUUGGCAGGAGUUGCAGUUGUGUGAUGGCUGGCAGGGGCACCCCUGAGUGCUGGAGCCGUGUGAUGCAGGCCUGUUGAGCUGCGG